rnacentral:lncRNA from 1 species
GUUAAUGCCACAGUUUCCUUGCCCUCCUUCUGUCCCUCAUGAUAUUUUCUUCUUAUGGUUUUCCAUUUCUAUGCCAUAAAAGCUUUGCUUGUGGAAGGUGCCAGACAGGUUUCCAAAGUUUUCUUCUGGGUUUUGCUGUAUGCCGUUUUUAUUGGUACAUUCUUCCCCUGAAUUUUUAAGAUGUUAUUUCUGUUCCUGUGAUUCUUCAUGACGGUUUUAGUUGUCCCUUGUGAGGCUCCUCCUCCCCUGCUUGGUUCUGGACAAAGAGAGAACUAACUAGAGGGGUAGAUGACUGGGUGAUUGCCCAGCUCCUCCUCAUCAAUUCAGCAGAAGAGUAGGUGGCUGCAGUAGCUCAUGACCCAAUUUCCAGUGUCCAGGAGGAAUAUCUGUCAUGAUUUUCAGCAGAUUGUUUUUUUUCCAGAAAAGGUCUUACUUGGAACUCUGACCUAAAAAUCUGUACUAUCAUAAAAGCUUGCUUUCAGUGAGGGAUAAGGGCUCCCAAUGUCACAUGCUUCUCGUCCUAAGGCAGAGUUUCCUCUUCUCAGUCCCUUGCUCUCUGAUGGGUUGAACUGACUGAAUAAACGAGAAUCACACACCCUCAUCAGGUGCUGCAGGGAAGACUUCUUUGCUCUUUUCCCAAGCAUUGACCUUGGGACCUUAACCCUUUAAAAUUCCCUGUACCACCCCCUCCUCUCUCUCUCUCGCCCACCCCCAAACUCUCUGCUCUCCUUUCUGUGAUGUGUGGUCUUUGGAUGGAUGUAGAACCUAUUGUGUUGUGGGGAGUGGUCCUCAGGCCUCUGCAGAAGACCAUGGGUAGGAAAGAAAAAAGAAAUCAUGGGGGGAUUUCUAACUUCUCUUACUUAGUGUGGUCCACGGCUUGUUAGAUGCCACCUUCCCUAACUAAAGACAGGAGCCACCCCAUCACCAGCCUCAGCAUAGGUGCAGCUUUCUAGGCAGCAAGUGAAAGAA